AGAUAAUGCACAUCUAUAUAGUCCUCAAUUAGAGUCACUGAUAAUGCCAGUUGAAAGGACACUAAUGAUGAGACUGAGUUAGGAUGCCAGAGGAGAGUUUAUGAGACAUCAAGGGAAUUGAAGCAGCACUGGCAGGGAGUGUCUCAGACUAUGAUAAGGAUCUGACAAGGUCUCAGCCGACCUAACACAGAGCUCCAGAGCAAAGAUUUCCCACUGCACAGCUGGUAUCACGCACUGAUCAGUCACUGGCUGGGCACUGCUGGGGAAGAGUGUUGCCUCAGCUCAAAAGCAGAAUCGGAUCCUGAAGGACCUAAUGACUAGAAACUUCCAGCUGACUACACUCUGCAACUGACUGAUUUGAACGUCUAUAGAAUAUUACAUCUCUUUGACCUGAAGGACUUGCUUUAGCAUUUCUUGUACUACAAGUCUGAUGGAGAGAAUCAAAGAAAAAGAUUAAGAAGCCCUUGGAUCAGAAGAGACUACAUACAUAUGACAACUAAAUGCAAUAUGCAAUUCUGCAUUGAAUUGGAUCCCGUUGAGGAAGAGGACAUCAGUGAAAUAAUAGAUGGCACAUUGCAUAAAGAAACGCGAACCCAGCAGCACUCCUGCCAGCGGCAAUUCUGAGUGCUCAUUUCCACUUUGCCAAGACAUUACAUGGGAAGGCAUGUGCGUUUAAGGGCAUCCAAUUGUUUCUGUAUCAGAACAGCAGCAACAUCCCGGGCAGGCCUUUCCUCUGGAGUUCACGUGUAGGUCGUACUGACACACAACAUGGCCUAAAUGGACCAUGGAGGAGGAAGGGACCCCAAAUCCAGGCCAAAUGGGAGCAGGGUUGUCCUCAGGAGGACCCCAGCUAGAAGACUUUCUCUGGAACCCACGGUGCCUCUCACUAAAGUGCCCCAACGUUGGCACAACACCUACCGAAUUGUUGUUGCUGACUCUCUAUGCCCAUGAUUCAACCAGAACAACAUUGAUUCGUUAAAAGGUGCAUGAAUAAACUUGACUCUGGAAACAACAACA
rnacentral:lncRNA from 1 species